AUUGAACGCUGGCGGCAUGCCUUACACAUGCAAGUCGAACGGCAGCACGGGAGCAAUCCUGGUGGCGAGUGGCGAACGGGUGAGUAAUAUAUCGGAACGUGCCCAGUCGUGGGGAUAACGUAGCGAAAGCUACGCUAAUACCGCAUACGAUCUAUGGAUGAAAGCGGGGGAUCGCAAGACCUCGCGCGAUUGGAGCGGCCGAUAUCAGAUUAGGUAGUUGGUGAGGUAAAGGCUCACCAAGCCGACGAUCUGUAGCUGGUCUGAGAGGACGACCAGCCACACUGGGACUGAGACACGGCCCAGACUCCUACGGGAGGCAGCAGUGGGGAAUUUUUGGACAAUGGGCGGCAAGCCUGAUCCAGCAAUGCCGCGUGCAGGAUGAAGGCCU
rnacentral:rRNA from 1 species